GAUGAACGCUGUCGGCGUGCCUAAUACAUUCAAGUCGAGCGCACGGACGAGAAGCUUGCUUCUCUGAUUUUAGCGGCGGAUGGGUGAGUCACACUUGGAUAACCUACCUAUAAGACUGGGAUAACUUCGUGAAACCGGAGCUAAUGCCGGAUAAUAUUUUGCACCGCAUGGUUCAAAAGUGAAAGACGUUCUUGCUGUCACUUAUAGCUGGAUCCGCGCUGCAUUAGCUAGUUGGUAAGGUAACGGCUUACCAAGGCAACGAUGCAUAGCCGACCUGAGAGGGUGACCAGCCACACUAGAACUGAGAAACGGCCCAGACUAAGACGAGAGGCAGCAGGAGCGGAACUUUCGAAAGGAGCGAAAUGCUGACAGAGCAAUGCAGCUUGAGUAAUGGAGGUCUUGGGAACGGAAAACACAGGUGUUAAGGAAGAACAGAGAAGAAAGUAAGUGUGCAGAUCAGGACGGGACAUAAUCAGAAAGGCACGGCUAACUACAGG
rnacentral:rRNA from 1 species